UACAUGGGGUGCAAACGUUGCUCGGAAUUAUUGGGCGUAAAGCGCACGUAGGUGGUCACUUAAGUCGGAUGUGAAAGCCCUCGGCUCAACCGAGGAAGUGCACCCGAAACUGAAUGGCUAGAGUACUGAAGAGGGUCGCGGAAUUCCCGGUGUAGAGGUGAAAUUCGUAGAUAUCGGGAGGAACACCGGUGGCGAAGGCGGCGACCUGGGCAGAUACUGACACUGAGGUGCGAAAGCGUGGGGAGCAAACAGG
rnacentral:rRNA from 1 species